UACGGAGGGUGCGAGCGUUGUCCGGAAUCAUUGGGCGUAAAGGGCGCGUAGGUGGCCCGGUCAGUUCGUGGUGAAAGCGCGGGGCUCAACCCUGCGUCGGCCAUGAAUACUGCCGCGGCUGGAGCACUGUAGAGGCAGGCGGAAUUCCGGGUGUAGCGGUGGAAUGGCGUAGAGAGUCCGGAAGAACACCGGUGGCGAAGGCG
rnacentral:rRNA from 1 species